rfam:Triticum aestivum genome assembly, contig: Triticum_aestivum_CS42_TGACv1_scaffold_034845_1BL
CAAAUACUCCCUCCGUCCGGAAAUACUUGUCGCAGAAAUGGAUAAAAGUGAAUGUAUAUAGAACUAAAAUAUGUCUAGAUACAUUUAUUUCUUUGACAAGUAUUUUCGGACGGAGGGAGUAUGAU